UACGAAGGGGGCUAGCGUUGCUCGGAAUCACUGGGCGUAAAGCGCACGUAGGCGGCUUGUUAAGUCGGGGGUGAAAUCCUGGGGCUCAACCUCAGAAUUGCCUCCGAUACUGGCAGUCUCGAGUGCGGGAGAGGUGAGUGGAAUUCCCAGUGUAGAGGUGAAAUUCGUAGAUAUUGGGAAGAACACCAGUGGCGAAGGCGGCUCACUGGCCCGUAACUGACGCUGAGGUGCGAAAGCGUGGGGAGCAAACAGG
rnacentral:rRNA from 1 species